UAAAUAUCUUUACAGGGAAGCAACUAAUCAAAUUCAGAGUUUAGGACAUAGUAAGGACAAAUAACCUGGUUUAUCCAACUAUCAAUGGAACAAAAAGAGAGGGACUAAGAUAAACUUAAGAGACAUUAUCAGGACCCUGUUUGGGAUCUGCUUCAAACAUGUUAGCCAUAAAAACACAUAAGGGCCUCAGAGUAGGGGACUCUAAAGAUGGACUAGGAAUGAGAUGAUAUCAAGAAAUAUUGUUAUUUUUGGCCAUUGUGUUUCAAGAAGUUUCCCUGGUCUGUUAGAGAUGAAUAGCAAAGUAUUUCAAGGUGAAGUGACAUUCUGAAUUUGCUUUAAAAUACUCCAGGAAAGGGAGGAGGAAAGUGUGUGUGGAGACCAGGGAGAGAGAUGAAGCAAAAUUGACAAAAUAGUAAUAAUUGUUAAGUCCAGGUGAUGGGCACCCGAGAGCUCAUUAUUCUAGUCUAUCUACUUCUUUUGUAAGUUGUUAAUUUUUUUGUACUAAAAUAUUUUAAAAUAUGAGUAAAUGUAUCUACACUUCAGUGACUUGUAUAUUCACAGCACACAAUGAUAGUUGCCAGCAUAAUCGUUUUGGGGAAUGGAUCAUAGCUUAAAUAAAUGUUGCAAGCUCUACACUACAAAUCACUAAUAAUCAUCUCAGUUCUGACUGCAGUGAGACAAUAACCCACUAAUCUCUGUACGGGUCUACUCUGGUUUCCAUAAGAAAAAAAUAAAUGACUCCACCUAAUCCUUACCUGCCUGUCCUCCCCUCUUUCCCCACUUCCAACAGGCUAUCAAGACUGCGUCACUUUAGUGUUGCAUUGUUGAAUCUCGACAACCAGACUUCUGCAGCAGGCCCCAGGUGGGAAAGCAUUGCCUUCUCACAAACAAGCUUGGUGCCAGACCCAGUGGGUGGAUGGACGCCAAAGAGGAGUUGGGGAUCAUCGGGACAAUGCAGGGAAGGUGGCAGGAGACGAUGUCCCUCAGUUCUUGAAAUUAAUAUAUAGAUUUCCCUUGGGUUUUUGUUCGCAUUUCUAAGUGGCUUUAUAUAAAACGGAUAUGCUUAAUUUACUAACAGAUAGAUUUUUUUUUUAAGUCUAAGCAAAAACCAUAUCCCAGGUUGCCACGUGCAGAGAAGAGAAGCUGUCCCAGUGAUGGUGGAGAGACAUAAUGCGCAGCAACUGUUUGAAGGGCGGAAUGAAGGCACAUCCUGAUGUCUUGGCGCUAAGAGAAGGAAAAGGAUAUUUACAUAAGAUGAGACGCCAAUAAAUCGGAAAGUUCAAUGUGCUUAGAAAUAGACAGUGGCUGGGACAAUGAUGAAGGAAUCACAUUGCUGCAGCAGACUGCAUCUCUCAUGUUUAAUUUUCGUUUAAUUCCUGAGGAAGGCAGAGGCUCAAAGAAAUGACUCACUCUCCCGCUCAUCCUUCAGAAGCACUCUUGCCGACCCCUCGGACGCCAAACCCUGGAAAUACCUUUAUUUUUUACUUUCCUGAGUUGAUCAUCUUUCACAGGGUGUUUAUUGAUCAGAAGCAAUGCUCAUCUGGGAUUCAGUCACGAAGCGGUGUUUCAAACCAGGCAAAGAGGUACAAGGUGGACAUUUCCAGCCUGUUCAUCUGAACUGAUUCAACUGUCAUCAUCUUUGUGCCCGGAGAAAACACCAAAAUGAACAUGUGCCUCGUACUAAGAAAUCCCAGGAUUGUCACAACCCGUGCCAGCUGUUGAGGUUAUGACACCUGUGCCAGCUUCGCCAGCUCUGCCCACUGUCAUCUGCUCCAACUGCUCCAUCUGCACUAACCAUUUGAAAGUUACGACGUCAUGCUGCUUCGCUCCUGAGUACUUUGUCCUGAAUCCAUAAGAAAAAAAAUUCUCUGAGGCUCUGGAUGGC